rnacentral:lncRNA from 1 species
UCUCAUGGAACAGGUGUGUGACAUUUCAGGAACUGGUGCACCACUUGGUCUGAUUCGUCUUAGCCAUUGGAUCGCACUAUUUUUAUGAUCUGACGGCCCAGAUUGAACCAUGAAGUGAAGUGUCCAUUCAUCAUGCCUAUUCACCAAUUUCUGAAUAGUCACAGCCAUACGGAUGCCACGCGUACACCUAACCGCCAUGCAGGACGAAGGGACGCGACCUACCACUCGUGCGCCACCUAGAAUGCCAACACCUUAUAGAAUUCAUGAUGAACAAAUUUUGACAAUUUAUUAAUCAAUAGGGAUUAAAACCUAAUUCGAAUGAUAUGUACGAAGUUUUAUCAACUCGGUAACAUGAGUUCGACUCUCAUAUACUCAACGAGACAUUUCUACUCUCUUCUAUUGUUCUUUAGCUCAAAUUAUAAUACAACUGUUGUCGGAAAUUCGACUAACGCAAUCAAAAGAAGAAAUAAAAUAAGCAGAAAAAUAGACAGUAAAUGAAGCGAGGUAUGCCAAUAAAGUAAGCAAAUCUCCUUAAGACAGAUUUCGCCCCCCAAUGAAGUGCAAACGGGAUUAUGGACGUCUGUCUCCCAAGAUACAACGCUCCUUCCAAAGUCGAUACUGCACAAUACCAACCUUGUCGGUCGAACCAAUGAAUGAUCGUACUUGAACGGAAUAACGACGGAAGUAUAAGAGAUUUUUUACGAGCAGAAUAUGGAGAUAGAAGAAUUUAGAAAUCAAUUGAAUUCGUAAUUGAUUUGGUGUGUCAAAAAACGAAUAUGGGGGUCCCUAUUUAUAGAGAUUGAAGUGUCUCAUGGAACAGGUGUGUGACAUUUCAGGAACUGGUGCACCACUUGGUCUGAUUCGUCUUAGCCAUUGGAUCGCACUAUUUUUAUGAUCUGACGGCCCAGAUUGAACCAUGAAGUGAAGUAUCCAUUCAUCAUGCCUAUUCACCAAUUUCUGAACAGUCACAGCCAUACGGAUGCCACGCGUACCCCUAACCGCCAUGCAGGACGAAGGGACGCGACCUACCACUCGUGCGCCACCUAGAAUGCCAACUCAUCGAGCCUUGUGCUGCCACGUCAUCGAACCACGAGUCCAUUUCCGAAAACUAUAAGGCUCCCCAGCUCCUCGCGACGAUGCGUACGUGCGAAGUGCGCCUCUAAAGCGCCCAAUGCGUACUUUGCGACGUGCGCGUGCCGGGACCGGGACCGGGUCCGGGGAAUGGUGCUAGUGGUGCGAAGCACCACUCUAGUGGUGACUAGCCUUUGGCUAGCUAAAGUUGGCCAAGUGGUAGGUAACAUAUUAAAUUAUAUAUUAUUUACACAACCCACUAUAUAAACAAGACUAUUUUCUUGUAAACUUUCGAUGUGGGACUCCUUUCCAUAUAAAAACCACUUAAAAUGGGCUUGUCAACAUAUGGGCCUAUAUUGGAGACUUUUCCAAUUCACUUAAAUUAAUUGCAAUGACCCAUAUCAUUAAAUAUUACAUUUAAUAUUUUAAACCCAAAUCAAACCCAAAUCAAAUUCAAUUAAUUCCAACAA